AACGAACGCUGGCGGCAGGCCUAACACAUGCAAGUCGAGCGAACCCUUCGGGGUUAGCGGCGGACGGGUUAGUAACGCGUGGGAAUAUACCCUUUGGUACGGAAUAGCCUCGGGAAACUGAGAGUAAUACCGUAUGUGCCCUUCGGGGGAAAGAUUUAUCGCCAAAGGAUUAGCCCGCGUUGGAUUAGAUAGUUGGUGGGGUAAUGGCCUACCAAGUCUACGAUCCAUAGCUGGUUUGAGAGGAUGGUCAGCAACACUGGGACUGAGACACGGCCCAGACUCCUACGGGAGGCAGCAGUGGGGAAUCUUAGACAAUGGGCGCAAGCCUGAUCUAGCCAUGCCGCGUGGACGAUGAAGGCCUUAGGGGUUGUAAAGUCCUUUCAGAUGGGAAGAUAAUGACGGUACCAUCAGAAGAAGCCCGGCUAACUCCGUG
rnacentral:rRNA from 1 species